UUUGUGGCCUGCUGGAGGUCAUUUUGCAGGGCUCUGGCAGUGCUCCUCCUGUUCCUCCUUGCACAAAGGCAGAGGUAGCGGUCCUGCUGCUGGGUUGUUGCCCUCUUACGGCCCCCUCCACGUCUCCUGAUGUACUGGCCUGUCUCCUGGUAGCGCGUAUAUGCUCUAGACACUAUGCUGACAGACACAGCAAACCUUCUUGCAACAGCUCGCAUUGAUGUGCCAUCCUGGAUGAGCUGCAC